GAAAUGCGAUAAGUAGUGUGAAUUGCAGAAUUCAGUGAAUCAUCGAAUCUUUGAACGCACAUUGCGCCCCUUGGUAUUCCAUGGGGCAUGCUUGUUCGAGCGUCAUUUGUACUCUCAAGCUCUGCUUGGUGUUGGGUGUUUGUCCUUACCUCCGCGUUUGGACUCGCCUUAAAUUUAUUGGCAGCUAAUGUAUUAGUUUGAAGCGCAGCACAAUUUGCGGUUUAGGCUGGUUAUCAUUGGCGUCCACAAAGCACAAUUAACACUUUUGACCUCGGAUCAAGUAAGGAUACCCGCUGAAUUUAA
rnacentral:misc_RNA from 1 species